ensembl:lncRNA
AAUGAUCUCAGGACCCAAAAAGAAAAUCGACAAGCCUGCCAAUGAGAGUUUGCAAUGUGAUGCAAUCACAGGCAACACCACGGUGGAAACUGGAUGGGCGGCUUUCUUCUCUCUAUGCAUUUUUCUCUCCAAGUCCAUUCUUUCUUUUUAUAUUUUCAUAACCGUGGAUUUCAGUAGAAAAUGCCUUGACAAGAGUUUAGCUGACAGACUGGAAACCAGAGCGGGAAAGAUAAUGUGAAAGAACCACAUGAAAACAUAUACAUUUCUUCAACGUGAAUAGGAACAUUUUAUGCUUCUGCUGAUAUGUUUCAUUCCUUUUUUAUCCUUUAUCAUUUUUCAAAAGAAUUAUUUUAAAAAUACUUUAUAUUAAGAAAAAGAAUAUAAUGAAUAAAGGUAUAGAAAAAAUAUAAAUAAUCAUGAAACCACCACUCAAUCAAAUAAAAAGGAAGUUACCAAUGCAAUAAAAGCCCACCCCUCCCCUCAGCCCUGUAUAUUUCUUCCCUGUCAUAACCACUGACUUUCCCUCUUAGAGUUAGCUACUAUCCUGAAUUUUAUAUUAAUCGCUCUCUUGUUCUGCUUUAUAGUUUUGCUACCCAAGUAUUCAUCUUCAAAUAACGUAAUUUACGUUUGAUAACUAUCUUCAAGAUUUUAUAUAAAUGAAAUCAUGCUCUCUCUAUGUAUAUAUUCUUGCCUUUGAUUCAACAUCAUGUUUGAAAAAGUCAUCCAGUUGGUUGCAUGUAGCUGUAUUUUAUGAAUAUGCCCUGUAGAAUAACACUUUAUUUGUAAAUAUACAGUGUAUUUUGUGUACUGUUAUUCUGUUGAUGGACAUCUGGAUUAUUUCCAGUUUGUGGCUAUCAGAAACAACAACGUUUGAGAAAGAUUCCUACACUUGCCAAUAUGUGCAACGGUUUCUCUACUGCAGUCAUGUUCUGUGAAAGAAUGUGCACAUCUUCAGCUUUACAAGAUAAUACCAGGCUGUUUUUCAAAAUACUUGCACCACUAUGCAAUUUUAACAGCUCUUGGUUUUUCUCUACAUGAUAUCAUUUAAUAUUUGGCUUCUACCUUAAACUAGAUUUACUUUUUUUUUUUUUUUUUUUUUAGACAGGGUCUCACUUUGUUGUCCAGGCUGGAGUGCAGUGGCAUAAUCUGGCUCACUGCAGCUGCAGGCUUGACCUCCCAAGAUCAAGUGAUCCUCCCACCUCAGCCUCCUGAGUAGCUGGGACUACAGGCAUGCACCACCACACCCAGCAAAUUUUUUAUUUUUUAAAAUGUUUUUGUAGAGAGAAUUUGCUGUGUUACCCAGGCCAUCGUUCUGCCUCGUCCUCCCCAAGUACAUGAGCCACUGCAUCCAGCAUGAAAAAUUAGUGAUCAUAAUUUUAGUUCUUUGCUCCUCUGACAUAGCUUUGGGACAUGGUCUAAAUUAAAUAUUACUGGUGCUCUGGGUGCACCGAUAUAGGAUUGUUCUGUAUAUUUCGUGUCCUAGGGCUGCCAUAACAAAUUUCCACAAACUGGCUGGCUUAAAACAACAGAAAUGUAUUCUCUCACAGUUCUGGAGGCCUGAAGUCAGAAAUCAAGGUGACAGCAGGGCCGUGCUCCCUCAGAAGGCUCUAGGGGAGAAUCUCUCCUGCCUCCUCCUAGCUACUGGUGGUUCACAGUGGUCCUUGGUGCUCCGUGGCCUGCAGCUGCGUCACUCCUCUCUGCCUCUAUCUUCACAUGGCCUUCUUCUCUGUGUCUCUGCGUGUCCUUUCCUCUGCGUGUCCUUUCCUCUUAUAAAGACACCACUCAUUGCAUUCAGGGCUUACUCUAAGUCCAGGAUGAUUUCAUCUGGAGAUCCUUAACUAAUUACAUCAGCAAAGACCCUGUUUUCAAAUCAGGUCACAUUCACAGGUACUGGGAAUCAGAACUUCAGUGUAUCUUUUUGUGGCACACAAUUCAAGCCACUACAGCUUGCACUGAGGGAAGGGAAAAGGAGGGGAGGAGAAAAAUUAUUAGCUUGUGAAACAAUUGCUACACAUGCUAUAUAAUUUUUGAUUGCUCAAGAUGUUAGCAUUUCUCACAGGGAGAAGUUAAAAAGCUGCCCACACAAAGUCACACACCUGCUUUAAAAAGAAACUCUUUUGAUUCUACUAGGUUGCCUUUGCAUAUGGGCAAGUAGUUGAAAGAAAUAGUUCAGGGUUCUGAGGAGCUCACCUGGGGCAGGUGUGCCCUACCUUUGCACCUGAGUCCCCUACUGAAGCACAAGAUGACAACAAUGGUAGAACUCAGAAGAUGUCCAGCAAAGGUGCCAUUUGUCCUGGGGACACUCUGAUUUUGUGUGGGUGAUUUUGCAUUUGCUAAAAGUCCUGGUCUUCAUUCUUUUACAGUUUGGUAGGGCUGACCUUACUGUUAGAGGGGAAAAUAUCUCAUGGUUGCAGCAGCCAAGCUAAAAGCUCCAUUGUUUGAACUCAUCCUGCCCUUCAUCAGCCUUAGUGCCGUGACUCACACCUUUAGAGAGUUUACAGUGUGGAUUCUAGUAAAUGUGGGAGCACCCUGUUAAAAGUCAAAUGUCUCAACUGGGGUCGGGUGUUGAAGGAAGAGGACAUUAAAUGAUUUUUAGACAUCACUACUUGAAACAUUGGCUUAACGGAUAAUAUCUUACUCUUUAUUUGGUAGAGUUCUAAGAUGGGUGUUAACCUUGGAAUCUAUAUAGCUUCAGGGGCAGGGAGUAUGGGGAUCAGCUAAAGAAGGAAUGGAUCACAGAAAGCAACUUGGUGAGAUAACAUCUCCUAUCACGACUCCAGAACCUUUGAACACAUCAGUGUCAGACCUGGUAAGUCGCCAUCUCUUGCAGUUAAGACCAAAGAUAUCUUUCUCUUGAUUCUGUCUUCCUGAUAUUUACCAGAUAGGACUAAACCUUGGCUCCACCUUUUACUCCAACUCUUGCGUAUGUUUCUCUCAAUUCUUGAUGAUUUCUGUCUAAAAUAGCAGGUAAAUGACUCUUUAAAAG